CAGGGACUGCUUCAGUAGCGGCGAGUGAAGCGGCAAGAGCUCAGAUUAGAAAUCGUGUUUCGGCACGAGUUGUAGAGUGUAGGCGGGAGUCUCUGUGGAGCGCGGUGUCCAAGUCCCUUGGAACAGGGUGCCUGAGAGGGUGAGAGCCCCGUAGGGUGCUGCGCGAAGCUUUUGAGGCCCUGCUGACGAGUCGAGUUGUUUGGGAAUGCAGCUCCAAGCGGGUGGUAAAUUCCAUCUAAGGCUAAAUAUUGGCGAGAGACCGAUAGCGAACAAGUACUGUGAAGGAAAGAUGAAAAGCACUUUGAAAAGAGAGUGAAACAGCACGUGAAAUUGUUGAAAGGGAAGGGUAUUGGGCUCGACAUGGGGGGUGCGCACCGCUGUCUCUUGUAGGCGGCGCUCUGGGCGCCCUCUGGGCCAGCAUCGGUUCCUGCUGCGGGAGAAGGGGCUCCGGAAAGUGGCUCUUCGGAGUGAUAUGGCCGGGGCCAGAUGCCGCGUGUGGGGACCGAGGACUGCAGC
rnacentral:rRNA from 1 species